AAAACUAUUUACAAGAAGAGAGCAUAUGAUAAUUGCACAUUUACCAAGAAUUCACCAAGGAAAUUAGAUGAAAUUAGAGUAUUCUCUCACAAGUUAGAGCUUGACAAAAAGAAGUUGGUAGCACCAAGAAGGCAUUGCUGUGAUAUAUUAACUUCUACAUCUGAUCAAGUGAUGGAAAUAGGGAUAAGAGAAUGCAAAGAAGAUGAACUUAUUUACAUGCAUAAUUAGAGAUGAAAUUAUUAUUUUUCUUUGCUUGUGACAUAAUUUAGAUAAAAAAGAUCCAG
rnacentral:misc_RNA from 1 species